rnacentral:rRNA from 1 species
AGUAAUCGUGAAUCACCAACGUCACGGUGAAUUUUAUCUUAGUUAGGUACUAACCACUCGUCAGGCGCUGAAAAAAG